rnacentral:lncRNA from 1 species
AGAGGGCGUGCAGAACGAUCUGCACCGGCAGCCGCUUGUUCUGCGAAGCGUGGACUCGAGCUUCGUACGAGAGUUUCAGUGGAUCCAUCACGCUGCAUACCUUCUCCCUCUCGAUCUCGUCCAGGUUCGGAUGUGCCUGCAAUCAAUAUCAUCUGCUCAUCAACAAUCCACCUAUGGCAAAAACGAUUGUUGAAACGGAGUCGUUUUUUAUGCCUCUUCUCACCUUGAGGAAGAUAUCAAUGGCGCGAUACAGGUCGUCGUCCACCUUUCUGGCGUCCUUGGGCACUAGAUUAGCGAUGCCGUUGAAUUUGCAUAUGCUGAGCUCUCCGUGCGCGGCAAUCUCCCCUAGGUACGCGUCUACAGUCUUGGCGACUCUCUGCAUCGCGGUGGAACAAACCUCCUGGAAAUCUCCACCGUUGAAGACAGCCACGCUCUUCUCCUUCUCCACGAAUCCUGAUAUAAUUCUUCUAACGCUGUCCAGGUCGAAGAGCCUCUCGCCGUCGUAGGUGAACGACAGGACCAAGAGAUCGUCGACGGUUACGUGCUCUAAGAUCGUCGAGAUCCGUUUCUCGAGCUCGUUCUUACAAGUAUGGGCUACUUUUAAGAAGAUCGCGGAGCGAAGAAGACAGCAGAGGAAGUUUAUAGGGAGCGCUGCUCUCUCGGAGGGUAAGAGU